GAUACUGUCAAUGUGACUAACCUUGAAGUAAACAGAUGACACAAUGUUUUUUCAAUGUCAUGGGCAUAUAAUGAAGAGAAAACAGAGAUGCUUGUUUGACAGAUACAGUAAUAGUAGGAGUUAUGAGGGAAGAUAGAUUGCAGUGAUAACUAUGUUGAGGCACCACUUCAUCACCAAGAACAUGAAAUGAAUUAUCAAUGUUUUCAAUGUGUUUGAACACCCAUUUUAAAUAAUACAGCUCAGAGUGAAUUUUUCAAAAUAAUUAAUUCUGUUUUCAAAGUUUUUUAUUUAGAUGUUAGUUGAUCUUGUCAAGUACUUUAUUUUUUUAGGGAUGGCAACAAUUACUAAAAUCAAUACUCGAGUACUCGGUCAUUUAGAGUAUUCGGUUACUGGGAUGAUUUCCAAUGAUCUUUAAAAUUUUAUCACACAAUAUCAACACCGUCUGCAUGCUACCUUCAUUUUCUAUUUUAAUUCAUAGAAUUUGUAGCUAUAAAUAGGAUUGCAAGAAAUACAUAUAAUAAAUAUAAGCAUAAGAAAUGUCAAUGACAGCAUUUAUUAUAUACCAAUAAAUUUUCUUCCUAAAACACAGGAUUAUCUUGAAGCGCAAAUAGUUUUCAACGGUUAGAAAAUUCUGUAUUAUGUUAGAGACAAAUACAGUACCAUAUAUGAAAGGCCUGGACUAUUUUUAUGCUCCCCAAAAAAUUUCGGGUGAGCAUAUAGUCGCCGCCUUGUCCGUCCGUCCGUCCAUCCCCUUUUCUUGUCCGGGACUUAACUUUGAAACAACAACAGGUAUUAACAUGAAACUUUGUAGGUAGAUAGAUCUCAUUGAGUAGGUGUGCAGUGCACAAGAACCUUAACUCUGCCUUGCUUAAUUUUUGAAUUAUUCCCCUUUGUUUAUUUUACACUUUGAACUUUGUCCGGGACAUAACUCUAAAACUAUAAGAGGUAUCAACAUGAAACUUUGUAGGUAGAUAGAUCUAAUUGAGUAGGUGUGCAGUGCACAAGAACCGUAACUCUGCCUUGUCUAAUUUUUGAAUUAUUCCCCUUUGUUUAUUUUUACACUUUGAACUUUGUCUGGGACAUAACUCUAAAAGUAUAAGAGGUAUCAAUAUGAAACUUUGUAGGUAGAUAGAUCUCAUUGACUUGGUAUGCAGUGUACAAGAACCGUAACUCUGCCUUGCCUAAUUUUUGAAUAAUCCCCCUUUGUUUAUUUUACACUUUGAAAUUUGUCCUGGACAUAACCUUUAAACUAUAAGAGGUAUCAACAUGAAACUUUGUAGGUAGAUAGAUCUCAUUGACUUGGUAUGCAGUGCACAAGAACCGUAACUCUGCCUUGCCUAAUUUUUGAAUUAUCCCCCUUUCUUUAUUUUACACUUUGAACUUUGUCUCUAAAACUAUAACAGGUAUCAACAUGAAACUUUGUAGGUAGAUAGAUUUCAUUGAGUUGGUAAGCAGUGCACAAGAACCUUAACUCUCCCUUGCCUAAUUUUUGAAUUAUCCCCCUUUGUUUAUUUUUAUCCCCCGCCGAAAAUAUUCGGCGGAGGAUAUAGAAAUAGUCUCCGUCCGUCCGACCUUCCGUCCGAAAUGUUUGUCCGGAGCAUAUCUCUAAAAGUAUUUAAGUUAUCAACUUGAAACUUCAUAGGUGGAUAGACCUCAUUGAGGAGGAGUGCAGUGCACAAGAAUGAUAACUCUACCUUGCAUGAUUUUUGAGUUAUUGCCCUUUGUUAUUUUUCAAAAUUGAUUUUUGUCCAGAGCAUAACUCCAAAAGCCUAUGAGAUAUUAACAUGAAACUUCAUAGGUGCAUAGAUCUCACUCAGGAGGUGUGCAGUGCACAAGAAUGAUAACUCUUCCUUUCAUAAUUUUUGAGUUAUUGCCCUUUGUUAUUUUUCAUACCUUAUUUUUCACCUGAGUGGAGCAUAACUCAAAAAGUGUUUGAGAUAUCAACAUGAAAUGUCAUAGAAGGAUAGAUCUUAUUGAGGAGGAAUGUUGUGCGCAAGAAUAAUAACUCUUCCCUAUACAAUUUUUGAGUUAUUGCCCUUUGUUGUUUUUUUCAUGCUAUUUUGUCCAGAGCUUAUCUCAAAAAGUAUUUGAGGUAUCAACUUGAAACUUUAUAGGUGGAUGGAUCUCAUUGAGGAGGAGUGCAGUGCUAAAGAAUGAUAACUCUACCCUGCAUUAUUUUUGAGUUAUUGCCCUUUGUUAUUUUUCAAAAUUAAUUUUUGUCCAGAGCAUAACUCAAAAAACCUUUGAGAUAUCAAAAUGAAACUUCAUAGGUGCAUAGAUCUCACUCAGGAGGUGUGCACUGCACAAGAAUGAUAACUGUACCUUUUAUAAUUUUUGAGUUAUUGCCCUUUGUUGUGUCGCCUCUACGGAGUAGUGGCGACAUAUAGGGAUCACUUCUCCGUCGUCUGUCUGUCCGUCUGUCUGUCUGUCCGUCUGUCCGUCCGUCACAAAACUUGUCCGGACUACCCCUCAUAAACUAAUGGUGCAAUUUCAUCCAAACUUUACAGGAAUGAUCAGUAUCAAGUCUAGUUGUGCAUAUUGUCAGCAUUUUCCGGUUCAAUGAUUUUUGUCAGAGUUAUGGCCCUUUAAUGAUUUUUAAUUUUAAAGUUUGUCCGGACUACUUCUCUUAUACCACUAAAGCAAUUUCAAUGAAACUUUACAGGAUUGAUCUGUAGCUCAAGUCCUUGCGCAUAUUGCAAGGGUUUUCCGGUUGAAUGAUUUUUGGCUGAGUUAUGGCCCUUUGAUAAAAAGGUGUUUUUUUCUGUGUGUUGCCAGAUACACAAUAGCUUGUCCGGACUACUCCUCAUAAACUACUGGUGCAAUUUCAUCCAAACUUUACAGGAAUGAUCAGUACCAAGUCUAGUUGUGCAUAUUGUCAACAUUUUCCGGUUCAAUGAUUUUUGUCAGAGUUAUGGCCCUUUAAUAAUUUUUAUUUUUAAAGUUUGUCCGGACUAGUUCUCUUAUACCACUUAUGCAAUUUCAAUGAAACUUUACAGGAUUGAUCUGUAGCUCAAGUCCUUGCGCAUAUUGCACGGGUUUUCCGGUUGAAUGAUUUUUGGCUGAGUUAUGGCCCUUUGAUAAAAAGGUGUUUUUUUCUGUGUGUUGCCAGAUACGCAAAAGCUUGUCCGGACUACUCCUCAUAAGCUACUGGUGCAAUUUUAUCCAAACUUUACAUGAUUGAUCAGUACCAAGUCCAGUUGUGCACUGUCCGUCUGUCUGUCCGUCUGUCACAAAAUUUGUCCCAACAUGAAAUUGGCCAUUAUGAGGCGACACAUGUGAUUACUGAUCGCUCUUGUUAUUUUUCAUACUUAAUUUUUCAAUUCAAUUUUUUUCUCAAAAAGUAUUUGAGGUAUCAACUUGAAACUUCAUAGGUGGAUAGAUUUUACUGAGGAGGGAUGCAGCACACAAGAAUGAUAACCUACCCUGCAUUAUUUUUCAGUUAUUGCCCUUUGUUAUUUUCAGCCAUCAGUAUUCACAUAGGUUUCAAAUCUGUAAUCACUAUAGCCAUCAGUUUUCAUUACCAAAAGACCUCUUAAAAUGGAAUUAUUCUGCUCUACUACAUAUACAUUCUUCCAAUGAGCAAACACAUUCGGCGGGGGAUGGCCAUGUUGACAUGGCUCUUGUUACACUUUGAACUUUGUCCAAGACAUAACUCUCAAUGUAAAAGAGAUAUCAACAUGAAACUUUGUAGGUAGAUAGAUAUCGUUGAGUAAGUUUGCAGUGCACAAGAACUGUAACACUGUCUUGCCUACUUUUGGAGUUAUUGCCCUUUGAUCAUUUUGACACUUUGAACUUUGUCCGGGACAUUACUCUAAGCAGUGCUUAAGAAUUAUUACUCUGCCUUGCCUUAUUUUGAAGUAAUUGCCCUUUGUUUAUUUUUACUUUUUGACUUUUGUACGAGACAUAACUUUAAAACUAUUAGAGAUAUCAACAUGAAACUUUGUAGGUAGCUAGAUAUAAUUGGAUAGAACUGCAAUGCUUAAAGAACCUAAAGAAAGCCUGGACUAAUUUUGGAGUUAUUACCCUUAUUCAUUUUUACACUUUGAAUUUUACCUUGGACAUAACUCUGAUAUCAUCAGGCAAUUUUAUAGAUAGAAAGAUCUAAUUGAAUAGAAGUGCAGUGCAAAAAAAAAACAUAACUCCGCUUUGCCUAAUUUUGGGGUUUUUGCCCUUUGUUCAUUUUUUUUAUACUUUCCAGUGUCCAGAACCUUCUCGGGGAGCAUCACCCGGUUCAACCGGUUCUUGUUAAUGUUGGUUCUGAUCUUAGCUGUGUAUAACAUAGUAUAUGGAAAUGGCAACCAAAAUAAUAAAAGGUGUAGCUGGUUUUGCACAAAUUACGUAUUCAUCUGUCAGUCAUAAUUUAUUUCUUGACAGCUACAUUUCUUUUUCUGAAAUUUCUUAUAUAAGUGUAAUUAAUGAAAAUCAUUUAUACUUCAAACGAAAAGGUAUAUUAUUAAAGGAAAAUUAUGUUGUAGUAGCUUUCUGAGGCUAUGCAUUUUUCUACUUGCAAUGUUGGAAAAUUGUUAUCUAGCUCGCCCUUUGGUCUCACAAGAUAUCAAUUUCCCACCGCUGCUCAUAGCAAAAUACAAAGCCUCAGAGAGCUACUACAACAUAAUAUUCUGUAUAUAUAUUUUUUUAUAAUUAACAAGUUUGGGCUAUCCUUGAACUUUUUUUUUAUUUAAUCAAGUUUGAUUUUUUUUAAAUAUAUUUAUAUGAAUGCAUGCAGCUUUGAAAUAGAUUUUAUUUAUGUAUAUUUGGCAGCAAUUUCACAUGUAGCUCUUUGAAAAAAAAUCACUUGAGCAAAAAAAAUUUUAUAGGCAUAAAGUGAUACCCUUUCUGUCAUCAUCAGUUUUUGGUUUUUAGCUCACCUGAGCUUGCUCAGGGUGAGCUUUAAGGAUCGGUGAAUGUCCGUCGUCCGUCCACAAUUGCUUGUGAACACUCUAGCGGUCGCAUUUUUGCCUCAAUCAUCAUCAAACUUGGUCAGGAUGCUUAUCUAGUUGAAAGCAUGGAUGAGUUCGAACAUGAUUCAUCUCGGAUGAAAGACUAGGUCACAAGAGCUAAAAAAAGAAAAACCUUGUGAACACUGUAGAGGUCACAUUUUUGACCCAAUCAUCAUUAAACUUGGUCAGGAUGUUUGCCUAGGUGAUAGCUCGGACGAGUUCGAACAUGGGUCAUCUCUGAUGAAAAAGUAGGUCACAGGAGCUUUAAAUAGAAACACCUUGUGAACACUCUAGUGGUCACAUUUUUAAACCAAUCAUCAUCAAACUUGGUCAGAAUGCUUGUCUAGUCAAUUGCUUGGAUGAGUUUGAACAUGGGUCAUCUCUGAUGAAAAACUAGGUCACAGGAGCUAAAAAUAGAAAAACCUUGUGAACACUCUAGUGGUCACAUUUUUGACCCAAUCAUCAUCACACUUUGUCAGGAUGCUUAUCUAGUUGAUAGCUCGGAUGAGUUCGAACAUGGGUCAUUUCGGAUGUAAAACUAGGUCACCGGAGCUAUAAAUAGAAAAACCUUGUUAACACUCUAGCAGUCACAUUUUUGCAUCAAUCAUCAUCAAACUUGGUCAGGAUGCUUAUCUAGUUGAUAUCUUGGAUGAGUUUGAACAUGGGUCAUCUCAGAUGAAAAAGUAGGUCACCGGAGCUAAAAAUAGAAAAACAUUGUUAACAAUCUAGCGGUCACAUUUUUGCAUCAAUCAUCAUCAAACUUGGUCAAGAUGCUUGUCUAUGUGAUAGCUCGGAUGAGUACAAACAUGGGUCAUCUCGGAUGAAAAAGUAGGUCACCGGAGCUAAAAAUAGAAAAACCUUGUUAACACUCUAGCAGUCACAUUUUUGCAUCAGUCAUCAUCAAACUUUUGUCAAGAUGUUUGUCUAGUUGAUAGCUCGGAUGAGUUUGAACAUGGGUCAUCUUGGAUGAAAAAGUAGGUCACCUGGGGUAGAAAUAGAAAAACCUUGUUAACACUCUUGUGGUCACAUUUUUGCAUCAAUCAUCAUCAAACUUGAUUAAGAUGCUUGUCUAGGUGAUAGCUCGGAUGAGUUCGGAAAUGGGUCAUCUCGGAUGAAAAACUAGGUCACAGGAGCUAAAAAUAGAAAAACCUUGUUAACACUCUAGUGGUCACAAUUUUGACUCAAUUGUUAGCAAACUUGGUCAGGAAACUUGCCUAGGUCAUUGCUGGGAAUAAAUCGAACAUGGGACAUCUCGGAUGAAAAACUAGGUCACAGGAGAUAAAAAUAGAAAAAUCUUGUUAACACUCUAGUGGCUACUGUUGUGAUCCAAAUAUUCUGUUAAUUGGUCUAAAAGUUUGUUUUGAUGAUUUCUAAGUCAAGAUCCAACAUGGGUCAUCUUGGAUGAAAAACUAGGUCACACCGCCCAAAUAUGGAAAAGCCUUGUUAACAUUCUACUGGUCACAUUUUCGACUCAAUUAUCAUCAAACUUGGUCAGGAUGCUUGUCUAGGUAAUUGCUUGGAUGAGUUCGAAAUCGCAUGUGAAACUAGGUCACCGGAGCUAAAAAUAGAAAAAUCUUGUUAACACUCUUGUUGCUACUGUUUCAUUCCAAGUAUCCUGGAAAUUGGUCUGACAGUUUGUUUUGAUGAUUUCUAGGUCAAGUUUGAAUAUGUGUCACCUGAGUAAAAAACAAGGUGGCACUGCUCAAAUAUGGAUAAUCCUUGUUAACACUGUAGUACUCACCUGUCAUGAGACUUGGUCAGAAUGUUUGUCUAGGUAAUUGUUUGGAUGAGUUUGAUAAGUCAGGUGAGCGAUCUAGGGCUAUCAUGGCCCUCUUGUUUUGUAUGGUUUUAUUUAAGAAAUAUUUUGUUCCAGUUAUUUACAGAUGUUUGUAUGAUUAUUGGAUUAAAGUUAAAGUACA